UACGAAGGGUGCAAGCGUUGCUCGGAAUUAUUGGGCGUAAAGGGUAGGUAGGUGGUUAUACAAGUCCGGGGUGAAAUCCCUAAGCUCAACUUAGGACGUGCCUUGGAAACUGUAUAACUAGAGUGCUAGAGAGGUUCGUGGAAUUCCAGGUGUAGCGGUGAAAUGCGUAGAGAUCUGGAGGAACAUCAGCGGCGAAGGCGGCGAACUGGAUAGUAACUGACACUGAACUACGAAAGCGUGGGGAGCAAACAGG
rnacentral:rRNA from 1 species